rnacentral:tRNA from 1 species
UUAGUUGAAGCCAAAAAUAUGAGGCUUCUUAUUGUUAAUAAGAAAAAUGAUUAAUUUAUAAUCCAAUUAAA